rnacentral:rRNA from 1 species
AAUGAACGUUGGCGGCGUGGAUUAGGCAUGCAAGUCGAGCGCGAACCGUAGCAAUACGGGGAGAGCGGCGAAAGGGAGAGGAAUACGUGGAUACCUACCCUCAGGUUCAGGAUAGCUAUGGGAAACUAUAGGUAAUACUGAAUAAUAUCUCCGGAUCAAAGGUGUGAUUCCACCUGAGGAGGGGUCCGCGUCCUAUUAGCUAGUUGGUGAGGUAACGGCUCACCAAGGCGAAGAUGGGUACGGGAUGUGAGAGCAUGAUCCCGCUCAUUGGGACUGAGACACUGCCCAGACACCUACGGGUGGCUGCAGUCGAGAAUCUUCGGCAAUGGGGGAAACCCUGACCGAGCGACGCCGCGUGCGAGAUGAAGGCCUUCGGGUUGUAAUCGCUGUCAGUGGGGAGGAAA